UUACAGUCUCUUAAUGUACUUGCUCCCCCCCAUCAAAAAAAAAAUUAAAAAAUUCAAACUUCAAGAAAUGGCCAAUAAGGGAGAAGGUGAGACCGAGUAAAGCUUCAACCCAGGUUGCAAUGUCUCUCAAAUCCACCUUAAAUCUGAAAAUGUACGCCGCGCCGGGGGUCACUGAAACCAACCAAUGCCGAUCGAGUUCACUUGCACCACCGUGGUACGGGGAAG